GAAAGGCGCUUUUGCGUCACUGAUGGAUGGACCCGCGGUGCAUUAGCUAGUUGGUGAGGUAACGGCUCACCAAGGCCACGAUGCAUAGCCGACCUGAGAGGGUGAUCGGCCACACUGGGACUGAGACACGGCCCAGACUCCUACGGGAGGCAGCAGUAGGGAAUCUUCGGCAAUGGACGAAAGUCUGACCGAGCAACGCCGCGUGAGUGAAGAAGGUUUUCGGAUCGUAAAACUCUGUUGUUAGAGAAGAACAAGGAUGAGAGUAGAACGUUCAUCCCUUGACGGUAUCUAACCAGAAAGCCACGGCUAACUACGUGCCAGCAGCCGCGGUAAUACGUAGGUGGCAAGCGUUGUCCGGAUUUAUUGGGCGUAAAGCGAGCGCAGGCGGUUUCUUAAGUCUGAUGUGAAAGCCCCCGGCUCAACCGGGGAGGGUCAUUGGAAACUGGGAGACUUGAGUGCAGAAGAGGAGAGUGGAAUUCCAUGUGUAGCGGUGAAAUGCGUAGAUAUAUGGAGGAACACCAGUGGCGAAGGCGGCUCUCUGGUCUGUAACUGACGCUGAGGCUCGAAAGCGUGGGGAGCGAACAGGAUUAGAUACCCUGGUAGUCCACGCCGUAAACGAUGAGUGCUAAGUGUUGGAGGGUUUCCG
rnacentral:rRNA from 1 species